rnacentral:rRNA from 1 species
AAGCGUAGGUGUUUCGGUAAGUCUAUUGUUAAAGUCUCCAGCUCAACUGGAGGUGUGCAAUGGAAACUGUCGAAAUUGAGGCAGAGAGAGGAAAGUAGAAUUCCCGGUGGAGCGGUGAAAUGUGUUGAUAUCGGGAGGAAUACCAGUGGCGAAGGCGACUUUCUGGCUCUGUUCUGACACUAAGGCUCGAAAGCGUGGGUAGCAAAAC